rnacentral:rRNA from 1 species
UACGGGGGGGAGCAAGCGUUGUUCGGAUUUACUGGGCGUAAAGGGCGCGUAGGCGGCCAGCACAAGUCAGUUGUGAAAUCUCCGAGCUUAACUCGGAAAGGUCAACUGAUACUGUGCGGCUAGAGUGCAGAAGGGGCAACUGGAAUUCUUGGUGUAGCGGUGAAAUGCGUAGAUAUCAAGAGGAACACCUGCGGCGAAGGCGGGUUGCUGGGCUGACACUGACUGAAGCGCGAAAGCCAGGGGG